rnacentral:lncRNA from 1 species
GCUGAAGAGGAAAAUGCCAUCUCAUAGUGAAGAUUCCUUUGGUGGGAGGAUCCUCAACUUUGUUGUCCCGUUGUUAACAUUCAUAGAAAAUGACAAAAAAAAAUGUUUAUUAAACCUUGUUUAUUUUCUUGCUUGUAAUGUAGGAUUUGCGUUUAUCUAUAUGGAUGAUGAGAGAGAUGCUGAGGAUGCAAUUCGAGGGCUCGAUCGAACUGAAUUCGGUCGUAAGGGACGCAGACUUCGUGUUGAAUGGACAAAGGUAAUGUCAUUGCUAGUUCUAAUAUUGAUAUUUUUCAUUUAUCUUAUAUUUAUAGUGUUGAUUAAUCAUCUUAUUUAAGCUCUUUUUUUCUGUGUUGUAGCAUGAACGAGGAAUCAGAAGGCCUGGGGGGGGUUCAAGCUCAAGAAGACCUUCAACAAAUACAAGACCUUCAAAGACCUUGUUUGUCAUUAAUUUUGAUCCAUAUCAUACGCGCACCAGGGACUUAGAAAGGCACUUUGAGCCAUAUGGAAAAAUAAUAAGUGUUAGGAUCAGAAGGAAUUUUGCAUUUGUUCAAUAUGA